GGCUUUUAGGUCUGCGCCCACGGCAUAUGGAAGUUCCCAGGCUAGGGGGUAAAUCGGAGCUGCAGCUGCCAACCACAGCUACAGCCACAGCAACACGGGAUCUGAGACUGAUCUGUGACCUAUACCACAGCUCAUGGCAACGCCAGGUCCUUAACCCAGGAUUAAAUCCACAUCCUCAUGGAUACUAGUCAGGUUCAUUACUGCUGAGCCACAACGGGAACUCUGACUCAGCAUUUUAAAAUUUGAUUGAAAGCAUAGAAUUGCAAACCCCUUGACAGUGAUCUUCAAACUGGUGGUUGUCAGUAAAAACACAAGCCCCAACCACAAGGACCUAAGAUGGUAGAGGAAAAAUCUUCCUCUCAACAGAGUGUGUGUGUGUGUGUGUGUGUGUCUAAAGUGGAUCUCCUGGAGAAGCCUUCACCCCUGGGUAUCCUCUUACUCUCUGUUUAAACAUCACUAUUCUCUCCACUUUGGUAUUUACUUUAAAUCUUCACAUAACGAGUGAGAAAAUCACACCAUACAUAUGUACAUACAUAUAAAAUACACAUUUAUAAUUUAUGUUUAUAUAUACAUACAUAUAUUUUAUAUUUAUACACACAGACACACUCGGCUAGUUCCAUCACCUGAUUCUAAAUUUAAGUUGGUCUAGGAUGGAGACAGGCUUCAAUAGUUUUUUUUUUUUUUUUUUUAAAGCUCCUCAGCUGAUUUUAAAGUGCAGCUGAUGUUGAUAAUGACUGGAUUAGAGCUAAAAAAAAAAAAAAAAGUGGGGGGGGGGAAGAAUUCCCUAAAAGCAUCAUAAUCAGCACAGACUCCUGCCUACACUGGAACCACAGUGCACUGAGGGCAUUGUCAGCAGGGCCUGCUUUUAUUGCUUUUUCCUUUUGUGCUGAAAAUAAAAACCAUUAUCUCCACUAUGAAGAACUCUGGGACCUGGUAUUGUCUGGGAUUCAGGGGCAGUGAAAGGGUGCUUCCUGGUAAAGCAUACUGUCUCAUGCAGAGAUCAAACUGACAGUAUUUAGACUCAAAGGAAGCAUUUGUUUUUUUUUAACAAAAUUUUUAAGAGAAAUUCAAUGCAUCCAUUUCAAGUAUAGUGUUGUUACCUUCUAUACUGGCAGUACUUCCUCUUCCUCAAUAAGCAACAUGUCGUUAUCUUCUGGCUGCUUUAUAAGAUUUUUCUCCUUAUUACUGGUUUUCAGCAGGUUGAAAAACAAUAGGGAAAAAAAUCAGUGACACCAAAAGUUGUUUAUUUGAAAAGAUUAACAAAAUUUACAAGCCAUUUUAAGUUAGAUUGGUCAAGGGAAAAAAGAGAAAGACUCAAACUACCUAAAACAGGAACAAAAGAAAUUAACAAAUGAAAAGGAUUAAGAGGGAAUACUAUGAAUAACUAUCUGCUAACAAAAUAGAUAAAUGAAAUGGACAAAUUCCCAGAAAUACACAAAAAAACUACUGAAACCCAUAUAAGAAGAAAUGAAAAGUAUGACUUGGCCUAUAAGUAAAGAGAUCAAAUUAGUAAUUUAAAACUUUCCACAAAGAAGAAAAGGGAACCCUUCUACACUGUUGAUAAGAGGGAAAAUUGGUGUAGUCACUAAGGAAAACAGUAUGGAAAUUCCUUAAAAAACUAAAAAUAGAGUUGCCAUAUGAUUCUGCAAUCCCACUCCUGGGCAUAAAUCCAGCCAAAACUAUAAUUCAAAAAGAUACAUUCACGCCUAUGUUCAUUGCAGCACUAUUCACAACAGUCAAGUCAUGGAGACAACCCAAAUGUCCAUCGACAGAUGAAUGGAUAAAGAAGUUGUGGUAGAUAGAUAGAUAGAUAGACAGACAGACAGACAGAUGAAUAUAGAUACAGAUAUGGAUACAGCCAUUAAAAAAGAAUGAAAUAAUGCCUAGAAAUUACCACACUAAGAGAAAUAAGUCAGAAAGAGAAAGACAAAUACCAAUAUGAUAUCAUGUUUAAGUGGAACCUAAAAUAUGACACAAAUGAACUUAUCUGUGAGUCUUAAACAGAAACAGACUCACAGAUAUAGAGAACAGACUUGUGAUUGCCAAGCAGGAGGGGAGUAGGAAGGGAAGGACUGGGAGUUUGGGAUUAGCAAGUACAUACUACUACUUGUAGAAUGGAUAAACAGAAGUUCCCACGUGGCUCAAUGCAGUGGCGUGGGUUGCUUCUGUGGCCCAAGUUCAAUCCCUGGGCUGGAAACUUCUUAUGCCACAAGAGCAACCAAAGGAAAAAAAAGAAAAGAAAGUAUAGCACAGAGAAUUAUAUUCAAUAUCCUGUGAUAAACCAUAAUGGAAAAUAAUAUACAUAUGUAUAACUGAAGCACUUUGCUGUACUGCAGAAAUUAACACAUUGUAAAGCAACUAUUAAAGCAACUAUACAUCAAUAAUUUAUUUUUUAUUUCCACAGAGAAAAGCCUUAGGUCCUGAUGGUUUCACUAGUGAAUUUUACCAAACAUUCAGAAAAGAACUAAUAUAAACUCUUUGAAAUUGUUCAGAAAACAGAAGAGGAGUAGACACUUCUCAAUCCAUCCUGAGGCUAGUAUUACCCUGAUACCAAAUUAGACAAAGAUAGUACAAGAAAAGAAACCAAAGAUCUAUAUUGCUUAUGAAUACAGAAGUAAAAAUUCUCAACAAAACUAGCAAACCAUGGAGUUCCCGUCGUGGUGCAGUGGUUAACGAAUCCGACUAGGAACUAUGAGGUUGCGGGUUCGGUCCCUGCCCUUGCUCAGUGGGUUAACGAUCCAGCGUUGCCGUGGGCUGUGGUGUAGGUUGCAGAUGCGGCUCAGAUCCCACAUUGCUGUGGCUCUGGUGUAGGCCGGCAGCUACAGCUCCAAUUCGACCCCUAGCCUGGGAACCUCCAUAUGCCGCGGGAGCAGCCCAAGAAAUAGCAAAAAGACAAAAAAAAAAAGCAAAAAAAAAACAAAGACUAGCAAACCAAACCCAGCAACAUAUAAAAAAGGUUACAUACCACAACCAAAUGAAAUCUUUCCUAGGAAUAUGAGGUUGGUUUAACUUCUGGAAAUAAAUUUAUAUGAUAGACAAUAGAUAUCCAUAAAAAGUCACAGCUUUAAGUAACAGUAUACCUAAUGGUAGAAAAAAUGGAAUGCUUUCCACCAAGAUCAGGAACAUGCAAGAAUGUAUGCUCCAGUCACUUCUACUUAGCACUGUCCUAGAGCUCACAUCAGGACAAGAAAAAGACAUAAAAGGUAUACAGAUCAGAAAGAAAAGUAAAACUAUCUCCAUUUGUAGAUGGAAUGAUCUUAUAAGUAGAAAACCCUAAGUAAUCCACACAUACACAUAAAUAUUAGAACAAAUGAAUGAGUUCAAGAAAGUCAUAGAAUACAAGAUUAACACAAAAAAAACUGUAUUUCUAUAUACUAGCAAUGAACAUUCUAAGAAUGAAAUUAAGAGAACAAUUCUAUUUACGAUAGCAACUAAAAAUAAAAUAACUAGGUGCAAUUUUAAAAAAAGAAGUCAAGACUUGUACACUGAAAACUACAAAACUUGUUGAAAGAAUUUAAAGACCUAGAUAAAUGGAAUGAUAUCCAUGUUCUUGGAUAAAAAGACUUAAUAUUGCUGAGAUGGCAAUAUGUUCCAAAUUGAUCUAUACAUUUAACAUGAUCUCUGUCAAAAUCUGAGCAGGCUUUUUUGCAGAAGGUGACAAACUGGUCCUAAAGCUCAUACAGAAAUGCAAGUGACCCAGAAUAGCCCAGACAAUCUUGAAAAGGAAGAACAAAGUUGGAGAACUCACAUGUCCCUAUUUCAACAUUUACUUUACACUAAUAAAGACAGUGUCUUACUGGCAUAAGGCUGGACAUAAAGAUCAAUGGAACAGAACUGAGAAGUCAGAUAUAAAUCCUUAUACUUACAGUCAGUUGAUUUUUGACAAACUGACAUCACAACUCAAUGAGGAAACAACAGUCUUUUCAACAAAUGGUGCUGGGACAACUGAAUUCCACAUGCAGAAAAAAUGAAGUUGGAACCCUCCUUAAACCUUAUACAAAAGUCAAUGCAAAGGAGUUCCCGUCAUGCCUCAGUGGUAAUGAACCCAACUAGUACCCAUGAGGACACAGGUUUGAUUGCUGGCUUAAGGAUCUGGCAUUGCUGAGAGCUGUGAUAUAGGUCACAGACAUGGCUUGGAUCUCACAGCAUUGCUGUGGCUGUGGCACAGGCCUCAGCUGCAGUUCUGCUUUGUCCCCUAGCCUGGGAACUUCCAUAUGCCAUAAAUGCAGCCCUAAAAAGAAAAAAAAAAAUAGAUCAAAGACUCAACUGUAAGAGCUAAAACUAUAAAACUCAUAAGAAAAUAGGCAUAAAUCUUGAUGACCUUGAAUUGGUAAUGGUUUUUCAACAUGAUGCUGAAAGCAAAAGUAACAAAAAAGAUAAACUGGACUUCACCAAUAUUAAAUUUUUUUGUGCUUUGAAGAAUACCAUUAAGAAAGUUAGAAAAAAAAAAGGGAGCUUCCAAGUGGUUCAGUAGGUUAAGAACCCAAAAUAUUGUCUGUGAGGAUGUGGGUUCGAUCCCUGGCCUCGUUCAGUGGGUUAAGGAUCGAGCAUUGCUGCAAGAUGUAGUGUAACUCACAGAUGCAGUUCAGAUCCAGUGUUGCUGUGGCUGUGGUGUAGGCCGGUAGCUGCAGCUCAGAUUCAAACCCUGGCCUGGGAACUUUCAUUUGCCACAGGUGCAGCCCUAAAAAGAAAAAAAAAGGAAGUAAACAACCCACAAAAUAACUGGAAAUACUUGCAAAUCAUAUAUUUGAUAAAAGUCUAGUAUGUGGAAUACAUAAAUAACUUUUAUUAACUUAAUAAAUUAACAAAUAACCCAAUUAAAAAUAGGCAAAUAUCUGAGGAGACAUUCUCUCAAGGAAGAUAUACAAAUGGCCAAUAAGCUCAUGAAAAUGUGCUCAACAUUAUUAGCUAUCAAAAGAUUUCAGAUGAAAACCACAAUGAUAUACCACUUUACAACUACUAGGAUGAAUAUAAUCAAAAAGUCCUAUAAAAUAGGUGUCAUGAAGAUGUAGACAAAUUGGAAUCUUGCCAGAGAGAAUGUAAAAUGGUGCACAGCCACUUUGGAUUUUUCUCUUUCUUCACUUUAGUUUCUUUUGCUAUGUCUUCAGGUUAAUUAAUCUUUUGAUCAGUGUUUAAUCUUUUAAGCUCCUCUAGUGAAUUAUUCAUCUAAGAGAUUGUAUUGUUUCAUUGCUAGAAGUUGCAUUUGUUUUUUUUUAUAUCUCCAAUUUUUCUCAUCAUUAUAUUCUUAUUUUUCUUUAAAUAUUUGAGCAUAUGCAUAAAAACUAUUUUAAACUCUUUGCUAAUCCCAUCAUUAGUAAUUUCUUGGUGCUUUCUCUUUAUUGGUCUUUUCUGAUGACUAUGGCUCACAAUUUCCUUCUUCUUUCUAUGUAAAGGAAAUUUUUUAAUGGAUUGAUACUGCAAACUCUACAUUCAGGAGUGUUACAUUUUGUUGAUUCUUUCAAAGGGUGUAAGACUGUUCAGUGAGGUAGUUAGGUUACUUUUCCAUCAUGUUGAACCUUUCAAGGCUUGUUAUUAAAUAGCUUAGGGGUGUGAGUUUAAGGUAAUCUUUACUGUGGGCUAGUUUAGCCAAGAUAUGACCUUUCUGAGGUCUCUACUGAAUGCCCUAAGUGUAUGUAUAACUCUCCAUUCUGGCAGCUCACAACACAAAUGUUUCCCAGCCCUUUUGAGCUCUGGUAAUUGUUCAGCUUGAAACUCCCCAUUCUUUGCACAGUUCUAUGAGGUUUCAGCCAUACACUCAAGGAAAUGCCUAUGGGAAGUUUUGUGGCUGUUUCUUUGCACAGCUCCUUCCUCUGAUUGUCUGCCCUACAAAUUCUAGCCACCUCCUUGAACUCCAAUCUCCCUCCUCAACUUAGUAAACUGACUGUGCUUCGAUUGGAAUCCCCCUUCUCUGAAAUUUAGCCUGGAAAGUGCCUUUGUUAUGGGCUGAACUGUUUCCCCCAAAACUCAUACAUAAGCCCUAACCCUCAAUGUGAUUGUAUUUGGAGAUAGAGCCUUAGGGAGGUGAUUAAAGUUAAAUAAAGUCAUAAAGGAAGAGCCCUAAUCCUGUAGGAUUGAUGUCCUUAGAAGAGGCAUCAGAGAGCUCUCUCAUUCUCUUCCUCCACAUGGGCACAGAAGGAAGGAAGGUCACGUACAGACAUAGUGAGAGGACAGCCACCUACAAGCUAGGAAAAGAGGCCUCACCAGAAACCAACUCUGUUUCUUUCUAGUCUCCAGAAUUGUGAGAACAUAAAUUCCUGUUGUUCAAGCUGCCCAGUCUGUGAGGUUUUGUCAAGGCAGCCCAAGUUGACUAAGCCUCCUAGGAAAAAGCCUGAAUGUAGUGUUUGUAUGUGGUUCCUUGCAAAUUUCCUUCUUCUUGGGGAAGGAAAGAGCACUUCCUGUUGCCUAGUUUUUGAAAAUAGUUGCUUCACCUAUUUCAUCUAUUUCUGGGUAUAUCUCUUCAUGAAGGUUAGUUAGGGCCCAGUUAUUCCAUCAGGGCCAGAAGCAUGAAUCCCCUUGUUUCAUUUCUUUUCUUUUUUUCUUUUUCUUUUUGUCUUUUUAGGGCUGCACUUGUGGCAUAUGGAAGUUCCUGGGCUAGGGGUCGAAUUGGAGCUGCAGC
rnacentral:lncRNA from 1 species